rnacentral:rRNA from 1 species
CCGUAACUUCGGGAGAAGGCACGCUGACACGUAGGUGAAGUGAUUUACUCAUGGAGCUGAAGUCAGUCGAAGAUACCAGCUGGCUGCAACUGUUUAUUAAAAACACAGCACUGUGCAAACACGAAAGUGGACGUAUACGGUGUGACGCCUGCCCGGUGCCGGAAGGUUAAUUGAUGGGGUCAGCGCAAGCGAAGCUCCUGAUCGAAGCCCCGGUAAACGGCGGCCGUAACUAUAACGGUCCUAAGGUAGCGAAAUUCCUUGUCGGGUAAGUUCCGACCUGCACGAAUGGCGUAAUGAUGGCCAGGCUGUCUCCACCCGAGACUCAGUGAAAUUGAACUCGCUGUGAAGAUGCAGUGUACCCGCGGCAAGACGGAAAGACCCCGUGAACCUUUACUAUAGCUUGACACUGAACAUUGAGCCUUGAUGUGUAGGAUAGGUGGGAGGCUUUGAAGUGUGGACGCCAGUCUGCAUGGAGCCGACCUUGAAAUACCACCCUUUAAUGUUUGAUGUUCUAACGUGGACCCGUAAUCCGGGUUGCGGACAGUGUCUGGUGGGUAGUUUGACUGGGGCGGUCUCCUCCUAAAGAGUAACGGAGGAGCACGAAGGUUGGCUAAUCCUGGUCGGACAUCAGGAGGUUAGUGCAAUGGCAUAAGCCAGCUUGACUGCGAGCGUGACGGCGCGAGCAGGUGCGAAAGCAGGUCAUAGUGAUCCGGUGGUUCUGAAUGGAAGGGCCAUCGCUCAACGGAUAAAAGGUACUCCGGGGAUAACAGGCUGAUACCGCCCAAGAGUUCAUAUCGACGGCGGUGUUUGGCACCUCGAUGUCGGCUCAUCACAUCCUGGGGCUGAAGUAGGUCCCAAGGGUAUGGCUGUUCGCCAUUUAAAGUGGUACGCGAGCUGGGUUUAGAACGUCGUGAGACAGUUCGGUCCCUAUCUGCCGUGGGCGCUGGAGAACUGAGGGGGGCUGCUCCUAGUACGAGAGGACCGGAGUGGACGCAUCACUGGUGUUCGGGUUGUCAUGCCAAUGGCACUGCCCGGUAGCUAAAUGCGGAAGAGAUAAGUGCUGAAAGCAUCUAAGCACGAAACUUGCCCCGAGAUGAGUUCUCCCUGAGACUUAAAGUCUCCUGAAGGAACGUUGAAGACGACGACGUUGAUAGGCCGGGUGUGUAAGCGCAGCGAUGCGUUGAGCUAACCGGUACUAAUGAACCGUGAGGCUUAACCUUACAACGCCGAAG